rnacentral:ncRNA from 1 species
AAAAGAUUUAAUCCUAACCUUUCUAUCAGCUCUAACUCAAACUACACAUGCAAGCCUCCGCCCCCCAGUGAGAAUGCCCUUAAUCCCCUAACCUGGGAUCAGGAGCCGGUAUCAGGCACACCCCCAUAAAGCCCAAGACGCCUUGCUUAGCCACACCCCCAAGGGAACUCAGCAGUGAAAAACUUUAAGCAAUAAGCGAAAGCUAGACUCAAUCAGGGUUCCUAAGGGCCGGUUAAGCUCGUGCCAGCCGCCGCGGUUAUACGAAAGACCCAAGUUGAUAAUCACCGGCGCAAAGCAUGGUUAAGGACAUAAUAAACUGAAGCUGAACCCUCCCCCUGCUGUUAUACGCCCCCGGAAAAAUAUACCCCUAUCACGAAAGUAGCUUCAUCCCCACCUGAACCCAUGACAUCUAAGAGACAAACUGGGAUUAGAUACCCCACUAUGCUUAGUCACAAACACUGACACCCCACCACUCCGCCAGGGGACUACGAGCGUAAGCUUAAAACCCAAGGAUUUGGCGGCACUUCAAACCCAUCUAGAGGAGCCUGUUCUAAAACCGAUUAUCCCCGUUCAACCUUACCACCCCUUGCCAACCCCGCCUAUAUACCGCCGUCGCCAGCUUACCCCUCAAGUGCCCCCCAGUAAGCAAAAUAGGCACAACCUAAAACGUCAGGUCGAGGUGUAGCGCACGCAGUGGAAAGAAUGGGCUACAUUUCCUAUAAUAGGUACCACGACAGAUACUAUGAAACAAGUAUCCAAAGCCGGAUUUAGCAGUAAGGUAGAAAACAGCGUGUUCUCCUGAAACAGGGCCUGAAGCGCGUACACACCGCCCGUCACUCCCCCCUCCCUCAACACCCCCCCCCUUCUUAACACAAACCACAACCUAAGGGGGGAGAAGUCGUAACACGGUAAGUGUACCGGAAGGUGCACUUGGAAUAAC